AAUCGCCGAAGUGUGCAGAAUGCGGAGCCGCUUAAAAACAUCAAUAAUGGCAAAAUUGAGCAACCAAAAAGUAAACCAAGGGCGCGGAACUCUUCAGAAGAAUCAGUUACAUCGAUAUCGUAGAUAAUCACCUUCACUAUCGUGCAAUAUCACUUCAUUAAACGCUUUCUCGCAAAAUUGUUUAUUGUCAUUCUGAUUCCGGUCGUUGCCGAACAAUCUUAUAACAAUUCGAUUAAAAUCUAUCAUAUGUAUAUAUCGUCGAUCAGUUUCCAGAUAAUUUCAGUUUCAGAAAUUCAUCCUUUCCCCGAUCGUCAUAGCAGUUAUUCUGCGAUCGGUUCUUCAAAGGGGACGCUUGUAACUCCUCAUCCUUAAAUAUUCUUUGAAAUCCUGCAAAGAGAAACGAUGCGUUGACCUGGUCUAAGUCAUAGAGCGACAUAAGUACCUCAAAGCUGUCUGGAAUCCUUGAAAUGUACUCGAAACGCGCAUCCUCUUCUUCCGUAGACAAAUUGGACCGUUUUUUCCUUCCUGCCGAUACGAUGCCGAUCGGAAGAAGAACUGGAUUCGUGGCUAAUGCAGCGGCUGCACCGAUCAGGGCAACUCCAGCUAACGCUUUCAAAGCCACGGCCUAAAACAGGAAGAAAAGUCGUGAAUGAAAAGAAGUAUGUUCGAACGCGGGUUCGACGAACGUAUUACGCUAGAAACAAAACUUCUCAAGGACAAGUACUAUUCUUCUCUAAGCAGCAGUUCCUUCUUAUGUAAUCCCGAUAUAGAGGGACUGCCAAUAACUUAUAAUUUUCUUAAACAAUGUCCCAUGAGAACAGAGAAACUAACCCUUAGCGACAACCCUUAGCAACAACCCUGUGCUAAAUAAACCAUCUGGUUAAAAGCAUUAAUAAAUAAAUAAAUGAAUAGAU